AUGGAUUAGGCAUGCAAGUCGAACGAGAAAGCGGCUUCGGCCGCGAGUAAAGUGGGCGAAAGGGUGAGUAACACGUGAGGAACCUGCCCCCUGGUUCGGAACAAGCCUGUGAAAACGGGUCUGAAACCGGAUGAGGCCCCUCCCGCAUGGGGGGAGGGCCAAAUAUUCAUAGCCAAGGGAUGGCCUCGCGGCCCAUUAGCUAGUUGGCGGGGUGACGGCCCACCAAGGCUACGACGGGUAGGUGGUCUGAGAGGAUGGUCACCCACACUGGGACUGAGACACUGCCCAGACUCCUACGGGAGGCUGCAGUCGAGAAUCUUCCGCAAUGGGCGCAAGCCUGACGGAGCGAUGCCGCGUGAGGGACGAAGGCCUUCGGGUCGUAAACCUCUGUCGAGGGGAACGAACGCAAUGACGGUACCCCUCAAGAAAGCCACGGCUAACCACGUGCCAGCAGCCGC
rnacentral:rRNA from 1 species